rnacentral:lncRNA from 1 species
UCCUCUCCGUGGUGUCAGGGCCCAGCACUCACCAAAGAGCCACCCCCAUCGCCUCCCUGUCCUUUUAUGGGAGCGUCUGAUGCCCAAAAUAGGGCUGUGAUCCCUGCCACAGACACCCGUGGGUCCAAGCGGGAGAUGCCGAAGGCGUGUGUGCAGUGCUGGGGUGUCAUAAUGCCCCUUCCAACAGCACCUGCCUCGCCCCGACCUGGUUGGGCUCAGCUGGCAGCCCCCCACGCCUGUGACGCGUGGCCAUAAACAUGGGUGAACCAAGGUGCUGCUGUCUCUGGAAUCAGGAUUUCUGAAACCACCUUCGGCAGGGCCACGGAGCAGCGUCUAGCUCUCUGAUGGUCCCAGGUCACUGCUGGACCCUGGGUCUCACACUUGACUGUGACCCCCCCCCCAACCCCAGUCCCCAGCAGCAGGGGCUUCCCCGACUGAACCACGGAUGCCCGGCUCGGGGAUUGGAGAAGGCUUCACGGGUCUCUGCUGAGUCAAAUCCAACUUAAAAAGUGCCUGUGUGGAUGGGCUUGCGGGCCUGCUGCAUCUUUCGGCUAUCCUGAGUGCUGCUGCUGGGAAUGUGCGCCCGGGUGUUUAUGAGCCCCUCACAUCGUUUAUCGGGCCCAAGAGUGGAGUUGCUGGGUCACAGGUGGUUCUGUGUUUAACUAUUUGAGGAACUGCCAGGCUGUUUCCACAGAGGCUGCACCAUUUACAUCUCCACCUUCGACAAGGGAAGUCCGACAGGGAAGGCCCAGUGUGAGCCGUGAUGAGCCAUCCAUACUCCUGGAGC